UACGUAGGGGGCAAGCGUUGUCCGGAAUCAUUGGGCGUAAAGAGCGUGUAGGCGGCCAGAAAAGUCCGCUGUGAAAACUCGAGGCUCAACUUCGAGCUGUCGGUGGAAACUUUCUGGCUAGAGUCCGGAAGAGGAGAAUGGAAUUCCUGGUGUAGCGGUGAAAUGCGCAGAUAUCAGGAAGAACACCCCGUGGCGAAGGCGGUUCUCUGGGACGGUACUGACGCUGAGACGCGAAAGCGUGGGGAGCGAACAGG
rnacentral:rRNA from 1 species